UACGAGGGGGGCAAGCGUUGUUCGGAAUUACUGGGCGUAAAGGGCGUGUAGGCGGUACCAUAAGUCAGAUGUGAAAGCCCUAGGCUUAACCUAGGAGGUGCAUUUGAUACUGUGGAACUAGAGAUCGAGAGAGGAAAGUGGAAUUACGAGUGUAGAGGUGAAAUUCGUAGAUAUUCGUAAGAACACCAGUGGCGAAGGCGACUUUCUGGCUCGAUACUGACGCUAAGGCGCGAAAGCGUGGGGAGCAAACAGGAUUAGAAACCCUUGAUAC
rnacentral:rRNA from 1 species